rnacentral:rRNA from 1 species
UGCCAGCGCUUAUUGCGCGGCGAAAAAACCUUACACACAGUGUUUUUUGUUAUUACAAGAACUUUUGCUUUGGUCUGGACUAGAAAUAGUUUGGGCCAGAGGUUUACUGAACUAAACUUCAAUAUUUAUAUUGAAUUGUUAUUUAUUUAAUUGUCAAUUUGUUGAUUAAAUUCAAAAAAUCUUCAAAACUUUCAACAACGGAUCUCUUGGUUCUCGCAUCGAUGAAGAACGCAGCGAAAUGCGAUAAGUAAUAUGAAUUGCAGAUUUUCGUGAAUCAUCGAAUCUUUGAACGCACAUUGCGCCCUCUGGUAUUCCAGAGGGCAUGCCUGUUUGAGCGUCAUUUCUCUCUCAAACCUUCGGGUUUGGUAAUUGAGUGAUACUCUUAGUUGAACUAGGCGUUUGCUUGAAAUGUAUUGGCAUGAGUGGUACUGGAUAGUGCUAUAUGACUUUCAAUGUAUUAGGUUUAUCCAACUCGUUGAAUAGUUUAUGGUAUAUUUCUCGGUAUUCUAGGCUCGGCCUUACAAUAUAACAAACAAGUUUGACCUCAAAUCAGGUAGGAUUACCCGCUGAACUUAAGCAUAUCAAUAAGCGGAGGAAAAGAAACCAACAGGGAUUGCCUUAGUAACGGCGAGUGAAGCGGCAAAAGCUCAAAUUUGAAAUCUGGCACCUUCGGUGUCCGAGUUGUAAUUUGAAGAAGGUAACUUUGGAGUUGGCUCUUGGUCUAUGUUCCUUGGAACAGGACGUCACAGAGGGUGAGAAUCCCGUGCGAUGAGAUGCCCAAUUCUAUGUAAAGUGCUUUCGAAGAGUC